GACGUAGGUGGCGAACGUUAUCCGGAAUCAUUGGGCGUAAAGGGUGCGUAGAUGGCAUGAUAAGUUAUUAGUGGGAAAUCGAGGCUCAACCUCGUGGAAGCUAGUAAUACUGUUUUGCUUGAGUACAGAAGAGGUUAACGGAACUCCAUGUGGAGCGGUAAAAUGCGUAGAUAUAUGGAAGAACAUCAAUAACGGCGAAGGCAGUUAACUAUUCUAUUCCUGACACUGAGGCAUGAAAGCGUGGGGAGCAAACCGG
rnacentral:rRNA from 1 species